rnacentral:rRNA from 1 species
UCGGCGGACGGGUGGAGUAACAUGUGGGUAACCUACCUAUAAGACUGGGAUAACUUCGGGAAACCGGAGCUAAUACCGGAUAAUAUUUCGAACCGCAUGGUUCGAUAGUGAAAGAUGGUUUUGCUAUCACUUAUAGAUGGACCUGCGCCGUAUUAGCUAGUUGGUAAGGUAACGGCUUACCAAGGCGACGAUACGUAGCCGACCUGAGAGGGUGAUCGGCCACACUGGAACUGAGACACGGUCCAGACUCCUACGGGAGGCAGCAGCC